rnacentral:rRNA from 1 species
UGCAACUCGCCUGCAUGAAGUCGGAGUUGCUAGUAAUCGCAGAUCAGAAUGCUGCGGUGAAUGCGUUCCCGGGUCUUGUACACACCGCCCGUCACACCAUGGAAGUUGGGGGCGCCCGAAGUCGGCCGGGAGAUAGGCUGCCUAAGGUGAAACCAAUGACUGGGGUGAAGUCGUAACAAGGUAAC